rnacentral:rRNA from 1 species
AUUGAACGCUGGCGGCAUGCUUUACACAUGCAAGUCGAACGGUAACAGGUUAAGCUGACGAGUGGCGAACGGGUGAGUAAUGCAUCGGAACGUGCCCGAUCGUGGGGGAUAACGCAGCGAAAGCUGCGCUAAUACCGCAUACGAUCUGAGGAUGAAAGCGGGGGACCGUAAGGCCUCGCGCGAUCGGAGCGGCCGAUGUCAGAUUAGGUAGUUGGUGGGGUAAAGGCUCACCAAGCCGACGAUCUGUAACUGGUCUGAGAGGACGACCAGCCACACUGGGACUGAGACACGGCCCAGACUCCUACGGGAGGCAGCAGUGGGGAAUUUUGGACAAUGGGCGCAAGCCUGAUUCAGCAAUGCCGCGUGCAGGAAGAAGGCCUUCGGGUUGUAAACUGCUUUUGUACGGAGCGAAAAGGCUCUCUCUAAUACAGGGGGCUCAUGACGGUACCGUAAGAAUAAGCACCGGCUAACUACGUGCCAGCAGCCGCGGUAA